GUAGCUCAGUCGGUAGAGCAGAGGAUUGAAAAUCCUUGUGUCGGCAGUUCGAUUCUGUCCUCGGCCA
rnacentral:tRNA from 1 species